GUAGGUUCAGGAUGAGGCUUAGUCCUCGGGGGUGUAGGUUCAGGAUGAGGCUUAGUCCUCGGAGGUGUAGGUUCAGGAUGAGGCUUAGGCCUCGGAGGUGUAGGUUCAGGAUGAGGCUUAGUCCUCGGGGGUGUAGGUUCAGGAUGAGGCUUAGUCCUCGGGGGUGUAGGUUCAGGACGAGGCUUAGUCCUCGGGGGUGUAGGUUCAGGAUGAGGCUUAGUCCUCGGAGGUGUAGGUUCAGGAUGAGUCUUAGGCCUCGGAGGUGUAGGUUCAGGAUGAGGCUUAGUCCUCGGGGGUGUAGGUUCAGGAUGAGGCUUAGUCCUCAAGGGUGUAGGUUCAGGAUGAGGCUUAGUCCUCGGGGGUGUAGUGGUCCCAUGGUGUUUAUGUUUGCAUACUAUUGUUUGUACAGAUGAACGUGGCACCUUCAGGCAUUUGGAAAUUGCUCCCAAGGAUGAACCAGACUUGUGGAGGUCUACAAUUUAUUUUCUGAGGUCUUGGCUGAUUUCUUUAGAUUUUACCAUAAUGUCAAGCAAAGAGGCACUGAGUUUGAAGGUAGGCCUUGAAAUACAUCCACAGGUACACCUCCAAUUGACUCAAAUGAUAUCAAUUAGCCUAUCAGAAGCUUCUAAAGCCAUGACAUCAUUAUCUGGCAUUUUCCAAGCUGUUUAUAGGCACAGUCAACUUAGUGUAUGUAAACUUCUGACCCACUGGAAUUGUAAUACAGUGAAUUAUAAGUGAAAUAAUCUGUCUGUAAACAAUUGUUGGAAAAAUUACUUGUGUCGUGCACCAAGUAGAUGUCCUAAUCGACUUGCCAAAACUAUAGUUUGUUCACAAGAAAUUUGUGGAGUGGUUGAAAAACGAGUUUUAAGGACUCCAACCUAAGUGUAUGUAAACUUCCGACUUCAACUGUAUGUGUGAAAUUAGAUUUGGUACUGUUUAGGUUAAGUUUUGAGGCAAUUAUCGGGGUGAUUAUCAACUGGGCUCGGCACCUUCCACUGAAGUAGCGGAGCAGGUCCUACUGUAGUGAGAAGGAGGGGAGCAGGCCCUACUGUCGGGAGAAGGAAGGGAGCAGGCCCUACUGUCGGGAGAAGGAAGGGAGCAGGCCCUACUGUCGGGAGAAGGAAGGGAGCAGGCCCUACUGUCGGGAGAAGGAAGGA
ensembl:lncRNA